rnacentral:snRNA from 1 species
GGAUUGUGAACUGGCCCCGUUUAAAAAGUUUGGGGACCCCUGAGUUAGAGCCUUAUCUUUUCUGGCUAGGCGGGUGUCCCCUUCCUCCCUCACCGCUCCAUGUGCGUCCCUCCCAGUGGAAGAGGACGACGUCCCAGGUAUAGGAGGAGUCUAUCAAGGUCUCCAGUCUUUGGUCCCGAGUAUACGAUAGCUGUGCUCCCCUGAUAGAACCUCCAAACAAGCUCAAGGUCCUCUAGCAUCACUCACAAAAGUGAAUUCAGUAGCAUGACAACAAAUAGGAUGCUAGCCUCUCUUUGUAU